rnacentral:rRNA from 1 species
AUUGAACGCUGGCGGCAGGCCUAACACAUGCAAGUCGAGCGGUUGAGGUAGCUUGCUACCGAUGCAGCGGCGGACGGGUGAGUAAUACAUGGGAAUCUGCCUGGUAGUGGGGGACAACGUUUCGAAAGGAACGCUAAUACCGCAUACGCCCUACGGGGGAAAGGGGGGGAUCGCAAGAACUCUCGCUAUCCGAUGAGCCCAUGUCUGAUUAGCUUGUUGGUGAGGUAAAGGCUCACCAAGGCGACGAUCCGUAACUGGUCUGAGAGGAUGAUCAGUCACACUGGAACUGAGACACGGUCCAGACUCCUACGGGAGGCAGCAGUGGGGAAUAUUGGACAAUGGGCGCAAGCCUGAUCCAGCCAUGCCGCGUGUGUGAAGAAGGCCUUAGGGUUGUAAAGCACUUUCAGUGGGGAGAAAGGUCAUUCACCUAAUACGUGAGUGAAUUGAUGUUACCCACAGAAGAAGCACCGGCUAACUCCGUGCCAGCCGCCGCAGUAA